GACGAACGCUGGCGGCGCGCCUAACACAUGCAAGUCGAACGAGCGAGAGAGAGCUUGCUUUCUCGAGCGAGUGGCGAACGGGUGAGUAACGCGUGAGGAACCUGCCUCAAAGAGGGGGACAACAGUUGGAAACGACUGCUAAUACCGCAUAAGCCCACGGGUCGGCAUCGACCAGAGGGAAAAGGAGCAAUCCGCUUUGAGAUGGCCUCGCGUCCGAUUAGCUAGUUGGUGAGGUAACGGCCCACCAAGGCAACGAUCGGUAGCCGGACUGAGAGGUUGAACGGCCACAUUGGGACUGAGACACGGCCCAGACUCCUACGGGAGGCAGCAGUGGGGAAUAUUGCACAAUGGGGGAAACCCUGAUGCAGCGACGCCGCGUGGAGGAAGAAGGUCUUCGGAUUGUAAACUCCUGUUGUUGGGGAAGAUAAUGACGGUACCCAACAAGGAAGUGACGGCUAACUACGUGCCAGCAGCCGCGGUAAAACGUAGGUCACAAGCGUUGUCCGGAAUUACUGGGUGUAAAGGGAGCGCAGGCGGGAAGACAAGUUGGAAGUGAAAUCUAUGGGCUCAACCCAUAAACUGCUUUCAAAACUGUUUUUCUUGAGUAGUGCAGAGGUAGGCGGAAUUCCCGGUGUAGCGGUGGAAUGCGUACAUAUCGGGAGGAACACCAGUGGCGAAGGCGGCCUACUGGGCACCAACUGACGCUGAGGCUCGAAAGUGUGGGUAGCAAACAGGAUUAGAUACCCUGGUAGUCCACACCGUAAACGAUGAUUACUAGGUGUUGGAGGAUUGACCCCUUCAGUGCCGCAGUUAACACAAUAAGUAAUCCACCUGGGGAGUACGACCGCAAGGUUGAAACUCAAAGGAAUUGACGGGGGCCCGCACAAGCAGUGGAGUAUGUGGUUUAACUCGACGCAACGCGAAGAACCUUACCAAGUCUUGACAUCCCUUGACAGACAUAGAAAUAUGUAAUCUCUUCGGAGCAAGGAGACAGGUGGUGCAUGGUUGUCGUCAGCUCGUGUCGUGAGAUGUUGGGUUAAGUCCCGCAACGAGCGCAACCCUUAUGGUCAGUUACUACGCAAGAGGACUCUGGCCAGACUGCCGUUGACAAAACGGAGGAAGGUGGGGAUGACGUCAAAUCAUCAUGCCCUUUAUGACUUGGGCUACACACGUACUACAAUGGCGUUAAACAAAGAGAAGCAAGACCGCGAGGUGGAGCAAAACUCAGAAACAACGUCCCAGUUCGGACUGCAGGCUGCAACUCGCCUGCACGAAGUCGGAAUUGCUAGUAAUCGUGGAUCAGCAUGCCACGGUGAAUACGUUCCCGGGCCU
rnacentral:rRNA from 1 species